rnacentral:rRNA from 1 species
GUGUCAGCAGCCGCGGUAAUACGAAGGUCCCGAGCGUUGUUCGGAAUCACUGGGCGUAAAGGGAGCGUAGGCGGCGUGGCAAGUCAGACGUGAAAUCCCGGGGCUCAACCCCGGAACUGCGUCCGAUACUGCCAUGCUCGAGCAUUGGAGAGGCAGCUGGAAUUCUUGGUGUAGCAGUGAAAUGCGUGGAUAUCAAGAGGAACACUCGUGGCGAAAGCGAGCUGCUGGACAAUUGCUGACGCUGAGGCUCGAAGGCCGGGGGAGCGAAAGGGAUUAGAUACCCCUGUAGUCC